AGUUUGAUCAUGGCUCAGAACGAACGCUGGCGGCAUGCCUAACACAUGCAAGUCGAACGAAGCCUUCGGGCUUAGUGGCGCACGGGUGCGUAACGCGUGGGAAUCUGCCCUUGGGUUCGGAAUAACAGUUAGAAAUGACUGCUAAUACCGAAUGAUGUCUUCGGACCAAAGAUUUAUCGCCCAAGGAUGAGCCCGCGUCGGAUUAGCUAGUUGGUGAGGUAAAAGGCUCACCAAGGCGACGACCCGUAGCUGGUCUGAGAGGAUGAUCAGCCACACUGGGACUGAGACACGGCCCAGACUCCUACGGGAGGCAGCAGUGGGGAAUAUUGGACAAUGGGCGAAAGCCUGAUCCAGCAAUGCCGCGUGAGUGAUGAAGGCCUUAGGGUUGUAAAGUUCUUUUAGUGGGGAAGAUAAUGACGGUACCCACAGAAAAAGCACCGGCUAACUCCGUG
rnacentral:rRNA from 1 species